GAUGAACGCUGGCGGCGUGCCUAAUACAUGCAAGUCGAGCGAACAGAUAAGGAGCUUGCUCCUUUGACGUUAGCGGCGGACGGGUGAGUAACACGUGGAUAACCUACCUAUAAGACUGGGAUAACUUCGGGAAACCGGAGCUAAUACCGGAUAACAUAUUGAACCGCAUGGUUCAAUAGUGAAAGGCGGCUUUGCUGUCACUUAUAGAUGGAUCCGCGCCGUAUUAGCUAGUUGGUAAGGUAACGGCUUACCAAGGCAACGAUACGUAGCCGACCUGAGAGGGUGAUCGGCCACACUGGAACUGAGACACGGUCCAGACUCCUACGGGAGGCAGCAGUAGGGAAUCUUCCGCAAUGGGCGAGAGCCUGACGUAGCAACGCCGCGUGAAUGAUGAAGGUCUUCGGAUCGUAAAACUCUGUUAUCAGGGAAGAACAAAUGUGUAAGUAACUGUGCACAUCUUGACGGUACCUGAUCAGAAAGCCACGGCUAACUACGUG
rnacentral:rRNA from 1 species